rnacentral:rRNA from 1 species
UAACGCGUGGGUAACCUGCCCUGUACAGGGGGAUAACAGUCAGAAAUGACUGCUAAUACCGCAUAAGACCACAGCACCACAUGGUGCAGGGGUAAAAACUCCGGUGGUACAGGAUGGACCCGCGUCUGAUUAGCUGGUUGGUGAGGUAACGGCUCACCAAGGCGACGAUCAGUAGCCGGCUUGAGAGAGUGAACGGCCACAUUGGGACUGAGACACGGCCCAAACUCCUACGGGAGGCAGCAUG